UUCACAGCCCUAGAGAAUGAAGCAUUCUCUUUAGCAACAGAUCAGGAACAGCACAGACAGCAGCACUGAAAGUUUAGCCCAUAAAGUCGUGCCAACCGGCCUCAAUUCUGAAUCGGAAAGUCCACCUCUAAGGGAGUUGAUUCUCCACAUCGCAUUCAGUACUUGGCCUCU
rnacentral:sRNA from 1 species